GCAACGAGCGCAACCCUCGUCCUUAGUUGCCAUCAUUGAGUUGGGCACUCUAAGGAAACCGCCGGUGAUAAGCCGGAGGAAGGUGGGGAUGACGUCAAGUCCUCAUGGCCCUUACAGGCUGGGCUACACACGUGCUACAAUGGCGGUGACAGUGGGCAGCAAGCACGCGAGUGUGAGCUAAUCUCCAAAAGCCGUCUCAGUUCGGAUUGUUCUCUGCAACUCGAGAGCAUGAAGGCGGAAUCGCUAGUAAUCGCGGAUCAGCAUGCCGCGGUGAAUACGUUCCCAGGCCUUGUACACACCGCCCGUUAAA
rnacentral:rRNA from 1 species